UGGCUAUAUAGGUCUUGUAGAGGAGAAACAGGCGCAUCGUUUGCGCAAGGUUUUGAGUGGCGCUAUGUUCAAAAAUCUGAAACUAGGGCUCGAAAUUUGAAAAAAAAUAGAAA